CUGAUUGCUAUAUUCUUUAUCUGUCAUGACUAGACAGAUGACAAUCUAUGAUAGCAAUUUUGCCUUUAAGGUUAUUUUCUUUUUUCUUUUAUUUAUUUUAUUUUAUUUUUUUUAACAGACUUUAAUAAUUUUCCUCACAGAAUGACUAACAGAAAUAUGACCCUUGUGCACCUUUUGUAGUUAAUUAAUUAGGUCAACUCUAACCACUAAGCCCCUUGUCAGGUUAUUUCUAUUAGGAGCAAUUGGAAAAUAAGGAGCAAUUGGCCUUAAAACAUUGAAGCCAGGUAGAUGAGCCUAUUCCACAAGGUCUCUUGGUUCCACCCUUGUUAACCGAAAUCUGCCAGGUGUGGAUUAUUUGACCUUUGCUAUCUAGGAAGCAUGAGAAGUUGGGGGGGGGAGGAAUUGGCUCCCUAGGGGAAUUUGAGGCUCAGGUUAUCUAGGGUGCUUUUCUAUCAUGGCAAAAUGGACUCUGUGUUCCCCAGUAGGCUGGUUUUUUUCUUUAUGUUUUCUACCAUCUCUGUGAAAUAGUUUCAGAGACUCUAUGAGUGAGUUACAUUGGUGGUACAUUGGACCUUCUGUCACAGACUGGUACAAUUUGUGAUCUGUCAAUUCAGUGCGUGCAGAUUGUGUAUAGCAGACAAGUAAAAUGUGGUCCUGUCAGCCCAAGACUUCAAAAACAGUCUGAGAUACAGGUUCUUAGGAAGACAAAGGUAGUGAAAGGGUCCAAGACUGGUUAUAAGCAAGCAAGUGAGCUAGGAGAACAUAUCCUCUUACUUCUCCUCAGCCAGGCCUCCUCGCAGAGCUGCAUGAAGAGUGUGACACGAAGUUGCUUGGGGAAAAGGGACGGUGCAGAGGAAGACAGCUCAGACCAUCAUCGUGCCAAAUCCCAAGAGGAAAUCAUGGCUGGAAUACAAUUACUGCCAGUGAUCCACAUCUUUGCCUCUGCAGACCUGGCAUGUGCAGGAAAUGCAGCGCAUAUGGCAAAUGGAAUCACCUGGAGCUAG
ensembl:lncRNA